rnacentral:rRNA from 1 species
CAGCAGCCACGGUAAUACGUAGGGUGCGAGCGUUAAUCGGAAUUACUGGGCGUAAAGCGUGCGCAGGCGGUUCGUUAAGACAGAUGUGAAAUCCCCGGGCUUAACCUGGGAACUGCAUUUGUGACUGGCGAGCUAGGGUAUGGCAGAGGGGGGUAGAAUUCCACGUGUAGCAGUGAAAUGCGUAGAGAUGUGGAGGAAUACCGAUGGCGAAGGCAGCCCCCUGGGCCAAUACUGACGCUCAUGCACGAAAGCGUGGGGAGCAAACAGGAUUAGAUACCCCAGUAGUCCCUGUCUCUUAUAC